GGGCGCAAGNCCUGAUGCAGCCAUGCCGCGUGUNUGAAGAAGGCCUUCGGGUUGUAAAGCACUUUCAGCGNGGAGGAAGGCGAUAAGGUUAAUAACCUUGNCGAUUGACGUUACNCGCAGAAGAAGCACCGGCUAACUCCGUGCCAGCAGCCGCGGUAAUACGGAGGGUGCAAGNNWWAANCGGAAUUACUGGGCGUAAAGCGCACGCAGGCGGUCUGUNAAGUCRGAUGUGAAAUCCCCGGGCUCAACCUGGGAACUGCAUUUGAAACUGGCAGGCUUGAGUCUUGUAGAGGGGGGUAGAAUUCCAGGUGUAGCGGUGAAAUGCGUAGAGAUCUGGAGGAAUACC
rnacentral:rRNA from 1 species